rnacentral:pre_miRNA from 11 species
UUUGUGAGGGAUGUUGGCUGGCUCGCUGCAUUCACCUUUUUGUUCUCUUAUAGAUACAGAUAUGGUGAUGGCAUCGGACCAGGCUUCAUUCCUUUCAAA